rnacentral:lncRNA from 1 species
CUCACAAGUCAUAAAAUUCCCAAUUUACAAACCACAGUCACAAAUUCACAAAAUUUACAAAUUUCCCAAUUUUCAUAAAUCAUAAUCAUCACGUUUAACAUAAUAAUCAAAUUAAGGCAUCAAAAUGAAAAGGAAAAAAAAAACAGAAUAGCUCACCAGACACCAAGGCAAGAAGUCUCACUCGCAGUCACAGCCACUGGUGAUCGACUCACCGUCCACUCAACUCGCAUGCCGCACGGUCGUACCACUCUAGUGACUCCACCGUCCACCUCCUCGUCGCUCACGGUCACAGGCCACACACGUUCACCAGUCACCGUCCACUCAACUCACACCACUCUGCCAGGCACCAGUCCAUAGUCCACUGCCUUCACAGUCGCAAAUCCAAUCACCCUUUUCCCAGUUUCGGUUCAGCCCUUGGUUUAUUAGUUUCAAUUUUGGACUUCAAAUUGGUGAAGGCAACGGAAAUAUACUCCAACCAUCCAUUAAUUUCAAAGAUUUGGGCCACUGGAUUUGGGCCUCAUUUUUUUUAAAAAAAGGCACAAAAAUGAGAAAAAAAUAGGCCCAAUUGCCAUCGUCUUCUUCAUCAGUUCUUCAGCCUCUGCAGCUCCUUUACCUCCUUUCCGAUUUUCUUCCCAGCGGACCGGCUGCUAAGCCUGCUAUUCUGUAGAUUCCAGCAAAGCCAGCACGGACGGCCGCGUAAGCUCGCCAAGUGCUGGCUUCGCCACUGGUCACUGAUGUUUACAAACUUGCAAAAACGGUCACCCAAAU